rnacentral:rRNA from 1 species
GAUCAACGCUGGCGGCGUGCAUGAGGCAUGCAAGUCGAACGAAGGAUCGGGCUUGCUCGAUCCUUAGUGGCGGACGGCUGAGUAACGCGUAGGUGACCUACCCCGAAGUGGGGAAUAACUGCCCGAAAGGGUGGCUAAUACCGCAUGUGGUCGCACGUUCAUUCGUGCGAGUAAAGCCGCAAGGCGCUUCGGGAGGGGCCUGCGUCCGAUUAGCUCGUUGGUGGGGUAAUGGCUUACCAAGGCGACGAUCGGUAGGUGGUCUGAGAGGACGAUCACCCAGACUGGGACUGAGACACGGCCCAGACUCCUACGGGAGGCAGCAGUCGGGAAUUUUGCUCAAUGGGGGAAACCCUGAAGCAGCAACGCCGCGUGAGGGAUGAAGGCCUUCGGGUUGUAAACCUCUUUUGUCAGGGACGAUGAUGACGGUACCUGGCGAAUAAGCCACGGCUAACUACGUG